rnacentral:lncRNA from 1 species
GGAAAGAAUUUUAAAUAGAAUGGUUAGCACUGUCACUGGAGAAAUGAGACCAUCAUGAGAAAGGGAACAGAUAUAAGUUGUCAAGUCAUACCUAGAGAAACCGUGUGUAUUCCCCAUUUUUGUGACUUAAGGGACUUUUGGAAAAGAUGCUACAAAAUCCACAAACAUGGCUUGUGAUUUCUGGACUAUUAGAAAAACUAUUGAGCAAGUUGGUAAAGGGACAUGCAAUGAGGUUAGAAUGUAAGACAGAGAAAAGGCAGACAGACAAAGCAGAAAAUGUAGGAAAGCUACAAGUAGUGAUCCAAAUACAGAGUUUAUCACUCUUUGGGUGGGAGGAGUACUGGAGGAAAGAGUGGCACACACACUGCAGAUAUGAAUACAUUUUAGUUCACUGAAUUAAUUAAAGAAAGGAUGAGAUGUUCUAGUGUCAUCUAUAGAAGAGUAGCACUCUCCCUGGAUUUUAUUGUGCUCUGAAGACAAGCGAAUUGUUUUAAACAAAAGGAGCCAAGAAAUAGUCUAAAAAAGAUGCCAGAUCAACUUGGUGACUAAUUCAAGUGAGGCUAAUGUAACUGUCCAUCUUCAGUCUCCUGGUGGCUUGAACUGGUCUGACCCAAUGUGUACUGAGACA